rnacentral:lncRNA from 1 species
CCGAAAUUCGCCCGCUUUGGAGGGCAGGUUUCAAUUAACAGCGAAAAUAAAGGCGGAAAGCCUUGAAGUAGUUAACACCCACAAACAUACACACACAUCCCGAGCACCGCCCCCGCCUCGCCGCAGCGCCGCACUCGCUCCGCGGCACAGCCCGCUCCCGGGGGCGGGAGCCCCGGUACCUCGUGUACUCCCGCAGCCCUUUCACGAACCACACGACGUUGCGGUACCAGGACAUGGUGCUACCGCCACCACCAUGGCGUUGGUCCCGCCUCUGUGUUACGUAAAGGUGCCCUGUCCAGCCCUGCCCGCCGUUGGGCUAAACCAUCUGGACAAUAAUUAACUGGAUGCUGGGUGAUGCAAUAUGGAGGGACUAACCAGUAGGCAGGAGAGAUGGAAUGAGUGCUGACUACUAAACCAGCCAUCUCAGUGAUGAGGCAAUAGAGAUUGUGUGCACGAGAACGGGACUGAGUUCAUCCAUGCCUGGGACACCAUCAGUCUGUGAAUUUAAGAAGUUGCUGUUUACAAGGAGCAAUCCAAGGACUUACGCUGCUGAAGGUGACGGACCAGGAGAAUGAUGAUAACUUAAUAAGCCACAGUAACACAGCUGUACGCAUCAUAUGCUCCAAACUGGC